rnacentral:tRNA from 1 species
GGGCCUGUAGUUUAGUGGCUAUAACGUCGCUUUCACAGAGCGAAGGUCGAGGGUUCGAGUCCCUCCGGGCCCA